UCUUGUUCGAUUGUUUCAUGUACAGAUUGGUGGUGGAAGUGCAACUCCGCGGAUCCGUACUAGUUCGACGGCGGCAGAAACUCCUCCUGUUUCAAAGAUGCUUCUAUGAAAUUUGGUUCUGCUUUGUGAAUGACUCCACUAACAGCGUCUCUCCUUCCUCUCGUUAUGCCUCCAUCUCCUUCGCCGACCAAAUUCUCCAUUUUUCUCAGUUUUGAUCUGGGCACGAAUCUGUUUGUGUAGGAUUUGAGAAAUCACUUUGUGGGUUUUGCUUUAUAGACCAUUUUGUUUCAUAAAAUCUUUCCUUUUACAAGUGGGGUGGGGAUCUUGAUGAACUCACAUCUUGGAUUUGUUUCUUACUUAUCAUGUUAAGAGCGGUUGGAUACUUUGGUUUUCUAAACAUGGGUUGGUAACAAAAUUUGAUUCUUUUUUUUGAAUAUGAGACUUGUGCCUUUGUGUGAGUUUGAUCAAGAUUAUGCAUUUGCAUUGUGCUGAUAAGAAUAGCUUUUUGUAGGUCUAACAGUCGUCCACGUGUCCUUACUUACUUAGCAACCAAUGUUUUCUUGGUUUGUGAUUUGCAGAGUCUUCAGCGGAGUCGAAGGAGUGGAGAUGGAAACAGAGCCAUUGUGCGUGAGUCUCGCCACUGGCAUGAUGUAUUAUGGUUAAACAUCGAUAGGUACACUCAAGGUCUCUUGGAGAAUCAUAAAGGGCUCACCGAGGACUACUGGCCUCUCUAUGUUGUUGAUGGUGGGAUUGGAGUCUUUAUUAGUUGGGUUUGGUAAUUUCUUCUUGGCUCUUACGCCAAUGAGAUGAUGAAAGUUUAUGUUCACAUCUUAACUACUUAUCUAGCUGUAGUUAGUGUACUAUGUUUCUGGUGCAGACAGUUCUUCUGGGGCGGUGCAUUUUCCGUCGGAGCUCUGUUGCAGUUCUUGUAUGUUAUUUCACUCAUUGACAGACUUCCCCUCACGAUGCUGAUUCUGCGGAAAGCGCUGAAAUUAGUUUGGGGACUUCCUAAGGUGAUAAUGGUGGCGCAUGCUUUCACAGUGGUCAUGCUUUUGUGGAUGUCUCUAGGGUCUUUUGGAGCAGCUGGUGUUGUGGCAUCGAAUAUGAGCGAUGAAGGACGCUGGUGGCUUCUUGUGAAAUGCAAUCAAAAUGUUGGGACUUUGUGAAGAGGAUUGUCACGAUACUCAUAAGCAUCAAGACCGGUGUGUGACAGGAGCGAUUAUUAUAGUCCAUUCGCUAGUUCUCCUACUCAAUUCACCAUUGCAUACACUACUCAAUGUGUGUGUGGAAACUAUGCAGUUUGUUGACGGCUUUCAAAAGUAUUAGAAGCACAAUGAGCAGCUGAAAAGACUGGAUUCACUACAAGUAAGAAAGGCUCUUAAGGAUGCUGGUGUUAUUCUUCCAAAACUUUAGGUUACAAAAAUUAGUGUAUGUAAUGUAACUAUGUAAGUAAAAUAUGUUUGGUGUAAUGAAUGUUCUUCAUAAUAACGCAAUACUUUACAUAUAUAA